CACGCCCACAAAAAAAAAAAAAACUGCCACUCACAAUGAAAAAUGAAAAGUGUUAAAUGCAUAUUUUUCUAAGAUGCCCCAGGCUGUCUCUACAUGUCCUCCGUCAACAAGUUUAAUGUAGUUCAGGAUCUCACAAAUUUGACAUCAAAAAUAUCAAAACAUUUUUCAAAAGUGUGUUUUAUGUGUUCUCCGGCCGAAGAAAAAAGCGCCUUCUGCGCGUCCAAAAAUGACGCAGAGGGGAUCUCGUCCGUGGGAUCCUCUGGGCUGCUGCUGGGGGGCACCACGCUUACCCCCGCAAAUGCUGCAGACAGCUCCUCCUGGCCGUCCUCCACCGGUGUGCUCGCGCGUUGCCUGAAAAAGGCAAAAUAUAAAAUAAUUAUUUUACAAUAGAAAUUAACAAUAAGAUUCACUUACCUGCGGUGCACUAACCCCUCCAAAAACCGCAGACUCUCCCUCCACGGCCACCUCGAGUCCACCCUGUCCACCUCCUUGUUGAAUUGGUGGCGCAGCUGCGACCACCUUUUCUUGCACUUUCUGGCUGCAAAAAUAUAAGAAUUGCAUUAUUACAUACACUUAA